GACAAUUGAAGGUAAGGUUUUGGAUUUGAAGCCAAGUCGAAGUCCAAGAAUUAUUGAGCUUGCUCGAUUUCAAGAGCUAGCUGGGGCUGAGAAAGAAAAUGAAUGGCAAUGUCAGUCAAGAGAAUUCUCAACAAAGAGAUGCUCGCUUACAAUGGCGUCAUUUUUUAUACAAAGCAAAAUGAGAUUCAAUGACCUUAAAUGAAACAUCAACAAUGGCGUAAUGCUAAUGAGAGAAGAAAAACAAGAAUUAGAUGUGAAAACAAAGAUGAGCACGUAGACGAAAGAAGCAAACAACUUACUACCGCCACUCAAGUUCGAUCACAAGACCAUGAAACGGGAACAAGUAGUACUGGGUAGGGCCAUUGAUUUAAGGAGCCUAAUUGCUAAACAGAUGAACUGUAGGAGUUGGACUGUUCACCCGAGAAACGGCUGAUUUAUAUGGUUUCGGGUCCUAACAAUAAGACUGUUUGUUGGAGUAUUACUCGAGAGGGACAAAAAUUCUAGGAUUUGGCGAAGGCUGUGCUUGAUACUGCUGCUGCAAUACUUGAUGGUGGUUAUGCAAAGCUGAAGUGAAAGGAUCAUCUUCAGGAAAAGAGUAACUUUAUAUUUUUUACCCAUUUAUGGAAGGUAUUUGAUGACAUCUCAUGCAAAGUGUGGAAGGAGCAUCAACCUUAGUGGUUGGAUGUUUGUCGUGGUCAGAGGGAUGAACGCUUGAGGCAUGAUGCUUCAUGAGGUAUUCUGCCACAGAUUUCCUUUACAAAGAAAAAACUGAAAGCUUGAAAGGUACUACAGAAGCAAUUAAUGUAUUUACAUUGUAUUAAUUAAAUUAAACAAUUAAGGGGAUAUGAUGUAAAACCAAGCACCCUCUUGACAUGACUUUGGACAUAUACUAAUGACUUUGCAGUAAGCCCAGGGGUGUUGGUGAUCUUAAUUUUGAGUUAUUUGGAUGGCUGUUGUGAGGGUAGGGGUAGUUGUUGGAGUCCUCCAACUUAUAAAAAAGUUAAUCAAUAAACAAUAAGUUUGGGGGUCAUAGAACGGAAUGGCACUCGCAUCGCGCGUGCGUCUUUGCUAGUAUAUAUAAUGAAAAGGUAUAUUAGUAUG